rnacentral:misc_RNA from 1 species
UAAUAAGUGUUUUAUGGCACUUUUUAAAUCCAUAUCCACCUUGUGUGCAAUGUCGGUCGAUCUUCUUCUUUGAGGAUCGACCAAACAUCAACCUUUAUCUUUUAACUCUUUGUCUGAAAAAUAUUAUGAAUAAACAAUUCAAAAUA